GAAAAAUAAUAUCCCAACCUGUGAAAGAUUAGAGGUCCAUUUUUGUCCAGCACAGCUGGAUUGACGAAGGAGCCUUGGGGGAAAAGGGGACCCUCUCCUCUCCUUUCCCAAGUCCGAGCAACUCUGGAAAUUUCCAGACUUUGAAACCCUUCCAGGGUUUCUGUGGUGGCUCUUGGGGGCUUUGGUGGGAGGGCUGGCCUCUGAGCUGCCUCCCCAGGGCUCCUUCGGUGCCUCUGCCCCAAGCCAGGCGGUCUGCACCCUCAGCCGUGGUCACGACUCUGUUCUCCACUUUCCGUAGCGACAGCUUGGCCCUCCCUCCUGCCCAGAGUUGAUUCUGCUGUCAGGCCAGUUUGCGGCUCCUUGCCCGGGAUGGUAAAUAUUUGGCCUGUCUCUGUUCUUUUGCACAAAAGCGCAGCCCUCCUGAUCUGUGACAAGCCUGUGGAAGAGUUGUCUCAGAAGCAAGAGAUCCAUUUGGGGUUCACGCAGGGGUUUUCUCUAAGCAGCUGAGCGUGAGGGCCGUGAAGGCAGAUUUGGGGUCCAGAUGUGCCCUAGUUGGAGUCCUAUCUGCCACUUGCCAGCUGGGUGGCCUUUGACGAGUAACUUCCCUGUGCCCAUUUCUUCCCUCGUAGAUGAGGGUUCUGAGAUGGCCCUUGUCACGCCGUGGUGAGGCUCGGAGCAAAAAUGCAGGCACGUGCCUGGCACACACCAGUGGACCUUCGACUGGUCCAUCCUCAUCAGCUCGUCUCACUUUUUUUUUUUGUUUUUUGCUUUUUAGGACUGUACCCUUGGCAUGUGGAGGUUCCCAGGCGAGGGGUCUAAUCAGAGCUACAGCUGCCAGCCACAGUCACAGCCACGCCAGAUCCGAGCCACCUCUGCAACCUACACAACAGCUCAUGGCCAUGCCAGAUCCUUAACCCACUGAGCGGGGCCAGGGAUCGAACCGGCGACCUCAUUGUUCCUAGUCGGAUUCGUUUCCGCUGCGCCACGCUGGGAACUCCGUCUCUCUUACUUUGAAUAAGGGCAUGGUCCUGGCCAAGUUACUUCACCCACUGGGAACAGCUACCUUGCAAUCCUAAAGCCGGGUCCGAGCCUGUGAGUCUUUUGUCCACCAGCCACAGGCCAGGCUGGGGUUACAACCACGGAUAAGACGGCCCUGGCCCCUCACUACCCACCCUGAUUUGUACCGCGGCUCUGAGAGCAGAAGAGGGGGAUUGUGGGUCUUCUUGUGGCUGAGGCUGCAGCUCCAUGGGGAAGGGUUCCCCCCAGAUCUCACAGCUGCCUUUGGUGCUGCCGUAGCAGGACACCCAGCCUUCUGGGUGCAGCAGGGCCUCCCCAGGUCGGAGGCAGCAAGUGUGAGCUGUAGAACAGGACAUGGAUGGGUCCUUAAAGGAACCCUGGCUGCCCAGAUGGGGCCACCUCACACCUCUGCUCUGCCAAGCAUGCAGCCCGAGAGGUCCCAAGACUGUUUCACGAAAGGGCCCCAGGAAACCCAGUGGGCCAGCCAGACACACUCUAGAGGGGCUGGUCAAGCAGGGUACAGAAUCCAAGGGCUGGGGGAGAAGGAAGGAAAUGCUUUGAUAUUCCAAAAAGUGCUGCAGAGUGAUCAUGAUGGGAAAUAAAAAUCAGAAUUUCGUUGGACUUCCUUAUACUUUUUUAUGGCUUGGUGACGUUUUCAUUUUGAAUUUCAAAACGGGAGCUUGUGAUGGAUCUUAAUCUCUUCCGUGCUUUAGAGCCCUGGGCAGUGGGCAGGGUUUCCAGGGAUGCAGAGCAGGUGACUUCUCACCCACUGCAGCACCCCCACCCUCCUCCCUCUGGCACAGUUUGGGGAAUUUUGCAAUUGCCCCAUAGCCAGACCCCUUGUGUUUGCUGCCCAGGAGGGCUGGGGAAGGAGGUGUUCUAUGGAAAGAGCCCUGGCCUGAUUUUAACCUCAGCUCUGCCACUGUGGGUCUGACAGCCCCCUUCUCCACCAAGUGGGGGGCUGGACCAACUGCAGUGCAUGCCCCUUGUAGCCUUAGCAUCCUUGGAAGAGUCUGAGCCCCGAGGCACAGAAGAGGGCACAGGGCGGGAGGGGUGGGGGAAGGAUUCAGGGAUAUGCAGCUGGGACAUUUGAAUCAAUCCGAGAAGACAUUGUGGUUCAUUCUCAAGAAACGCUGGAUUUCUGCCCUGGGGUGUGGGGUUCAAGGGAAAAUGCUGGCUUCCCCUGGGUGACUGAGGCUUAAAUUUUGCUCUUGCAUUUUCUUUUUUUUUCCGUGUCCACUGUAAGGUACUCCUCCCCUUCUGAAGACACGUCAGUUGCAUUGUGGCUUAUUUGCCGAUGGUAUCUGGUUUUCCAGGAGACUGAAGGCAGGCAUUGGAGAAAGGGUGUUCGCUUUGCAGGCUCUCCUGGGGACUUGUUGGGCGACAAGCUUUCCCCAUCUGUGAUGAUCUGUGCCCUCCCUAUGGUAUGCCACAGGGAUCCACGAGAAUGCCCGUGUGACACACUGGGCACAUGGUGGUGGGGUGAGGCUGUGCGUGGUAGUUGCUCUUAAGUAACAGCGUGGCUCACCCCAGGGCCUGUGGGGCCAGCCAAGUAACCCCAGUGAAGCCGGCCCUGAACUUGGCAAGCCUUCUUGCUGCCUCGAUUUGUGGGGAGAAAACAUGAAAAGAAAAGCAAGUCCUUGCUGUAUAUGGGGCGGGUUU
rnacentral:lncRNA from 1 species